UACAGGGGGAUAACACUUAGAAAUAGGUGCUAAUACCGCAUAAGCGCACGGUUCCGCAUGGAACAGUGUGAAAAACUCCGGUGGUAUACGAUGGAUCCGCGUCUGAUUAGCCAGUUGGCGGGGUAACGGCCCACCAAAGCGACGAUCAGUAGCCGGCCUGAGAGGGUGAACGGCCACAUUGGGACUGAGACACGGCCCAAACUCCUACGGGAGGCAGCAGUGGGGAAUAUUGCACAAUGGGGGAAACCCUGAUGCAGCGACGCCGCGUGAGUGAAGAAGUAUCUCGGUACGUAAAGCUCUAUCAGCAGGGAAGAAAAUGACGGUACCUGACUAAGAAGCCCCGGCUAACUACGUGCCAGCAGCCGCGGUAAUACGUAGGGGGCAAGCGUUAUCCGGAUUUACUGGGUGUAAAGGGAGCGUAGACGGCAGCGCAAGUCUGGAGUGAAAUGCCGGGGCCCAACCCCGGAACUGCUUUGGAAACUGUGCAGCUCGAGUGCAGGAGAGGUAAGCGGAAUUCCUAGUGUAGCGGUGAAAUGCGUAGAUAUUAGGAGGAACACCAGUGGCGAAGGCGGCUUACUGGACUGUAACUGACGUUGAGGCUCGAAAGCGUGGGGAGCAAACAGGAUUAGAUACCCUGGUAGUCCACGCCGUAAACGAUGAUUACUAGGUGUCGGGGGGCCAAGGCCCUCCGGUGCCGCCG
rnacentral:rRNA from 1 species